rnacentral:tRNA from 1 species
GCCGGCGUAGCUCAGUUGGCCAGAGCACUUCACUCGUAAUGAAGGGGUCCCCGGUUCGAAUCCGGGCGCCGGCU